UGAGUAACCUGCCCUUAACUCUGAGAUAAGCCUGGGAAACUGGGUCUAAUACCGGAUAUGACUCCUCAUCGCAUGGUGGGGGUGGAAAGCUUUAUUGUGGUUUUGGAUGGACUCGCGGCCUAUCAGCUUGUUGGUGAGGUAAUGGCUUACCAAGGCGACGACGGGUAGCCGGCCUGAGAGGGCGACCGGCCACACUGGGACUGAGACACGGCCCAGACCUCCGUACGGGGAGCAG
rnacentral:rRNA from 1 species